UCUUUUCAUUUCAGGUGCUGCCAGUCAUAGACAUCACUGCCAAUGCAGCCAUUACCUUGCAGGCAAUACUAGCUGGUAAUGGAUAGCAUGAUUAACCACCUGCUUCGCCCUGUAUCCUUCUUCCAAGCAAAAACUUUAAUUAAAAGCGAUUAUAACUUUGAAUUUAGAAAGUUAAAAAAGGGAUUAGGGUUCCUGAUAAAUUUGAAACAAGGUUCUGUAAUUCAUUAUAAAUAAUCCUUCCUGUGAGAACAUGUUCUUUUUUAAUUCUUUUAUAAAACACAAAGUAAGACAAGACUAAAAAAUGGACCUUAGAAAAAACUAUAAACAACUAAAAAUUACAAUUAAAGAAGAACAUUCAAACUUGACUUAUGAAUACAGAAUGAAGCAACUAUUUUAACAUUGGACAUACUGAAGAAUGUUAAAAUGUUUUUGAACAAUGGUUCCAUAAGUUAGUUUUAAGAGUUUAUGCCUCUACAGAAAAACUAUGUGUAAAAGAUGCUAUGGAAGAAGAACACGUUUUAGUAGACAUAAUUGAGAUUGAUCUAAAAGUGGAUUUAAAAAUGAUAGGCUGCAAAAAUGACAUGGAGACAGAUGUUACACUGGACAUAUAAAAGAAAUGGGCUGAUCUCUUAAUUAAAAGGGAUAUACAAAUAACACACCAAGAGACUGACCUGGAUACUUUUUUAAUACUGUGUUUAGAAAACAGGUUUAUUAAAACUUUUAAGAAUUUUGUGAGAAGAAACAAAAAAAAAUGGAAAAGAAAUUAAGUUCUAGCACUUUAUUUGACAGGUCUAAAGAUCAAGAUUGUUAGAAGUAAAAGGAAGGAAUAUAAACUUAUUUUACUUGAUCAAGGUCAAAAUAGAUAUGCUGUUAUUUCUGUUAACAUUUUAUGGAAUUUUGCUGACAUCAGGACUAAAAUGAUGAGGCUUUGUGGAUUUGUUUAUAGAUACGAUAUGGGAUAUGAUAGGAUGAGAUCAUUGGCUAUAUUUUAAGAGAAGUUGAUAUUGUACUAAAAUUGUUUAUAUUUGUUAUGAUGAAGGAGAAUAUAUAUAUUUAUAUAUUUUGCCUUUUUCUUUGCUAUAUUCUUAUUUCUUUUCUUUCCAGGAGUUAGUUAAAAUGGGGCUUUCUUGAAAAAUAUUUGGAGGGAAGGCAUUUUCAGAUUCUUACUGCUCUAUACUUAUUGGAUUUUUAAACACUAUUGUUGACCACUGAAAGUCCUUGAAAAUUAUGACCCCAUACAAUUCAAGCCAUUUAAUUAACUGGAGGAGGGAUUCCAUAAAUGGAAUAAAAGCACUGAAAAACUCCACAAUAAUUUUAUUACUUGUCGUACAUAAGGCAGAAGCACCAGAAAAAAAGUCCAAAGAUAAUCAAAACAUACAGGCAAGUUGAUAUAUAUUUUUUUUCAAAUAUUUAGAGACCGUAAACUGUUCUGGGCUUGAUAUUUAAUUCCAGCAAUUCAAAUGGUGUUUGAUCACAGAGAAGAGCGCCUGAGGUUUUUUUUUUUUUUUAAACUAUAUCAGUGAGAUUAUGUUCCUGUUGUUCUAAAUGAAAAAUUGUUUUAGUUUACAAAUGGAGUUCAAACAUUUUUUACCCAGAUCUUUUAAAUGAUUAUUUAAAGGAGGUUUUGUUUUUUUUAAUGGUGUUGCUUUGCCUUUUGGAUGUUUGUAUGCUACCAAAAUCACAAAUGUGAUUGGAUGCCUGCAUCCACACAUCUGAGGUUUCUGAACAGACCUCAAAGGCUCAAUUUUUGAUUAGAAAUAUUGGGUAAAAAUUAUUUCCUUUUCCCCUCCUAAUAUUGUUUUUAAAUGUUGAAAUGUUGUUAUGUGUCUUACAGGAUAAAAAUUACAUCAUGGCUUGCUUGGUUGUACAAUCUGGCUCAGUGUAUCUUUGCUGCCAUCUUGAGGACAUGAUUUUUUGGCCAAUGUGCAUGGACUUUUACUUACUCACACAUGUCGGAGCGAAUGGCGUCCACUUCUUGUUAACAUGACAGAUCCUUCGAGUUGGCCCCUGUAACUCAUAUCCCCGAUUACAACUGUAGAAAACUUCAUCUCCAAGUAAGAAGUCUUUGCCAACAACAGAUCCAUUAUCUAUUGGUUCGGGGGAACCACAGGAUAUUUCUGAAGGUAUGUUCUGCAUCACCCUAUCAAACAAGAGAAUGGUUCAGAAAACACCAUGAUAUAUCCAUCAUAUUGUCAUACUCUCACAAUCUUUAAAAAAACAGAUAUGCCUUUGCUUUACAUUCUGCAUGAUUUAAUAAAGACAAGAAGCUAAUAUUUGAUAACAGAAUGUCCAUUUUUCUCUUAGGUAUUAUAUAGCAGUAACUUGGGCUUCUACAAGGCUUGAUCUUUUCUCUCCUGAAUCCAUCAUAAUAAAUAAAAAGCAGAUUUAAAGAAUAUACAAGCUAAACCUUUGUUAUUUUAUUGAAGCAUUGGGGGCAGGAUUUUUCAUUUUCAGAAAACAAUGUCCCUACUCCAUUGCUAUAUUACUUUUGUUUUUGUUUUUUUUAAAAAAACCCACCAUACUGCAACAAUAAUUUUAUUACUCUUUUUUCCCUUGAUACGAGUCACCACUUUGUAGGUCCUUGGAUAAAAAUGUGAGGAAAACAUUGCAAUAAAUUA